rnacentral:misc_RNA from 1 species
AAGUCGUAACAAGGUUUCCGUAGGUGAACCUGCGGAAGGAUCAUUACAUAAUAUAAAACGUGAGUGGGUGUGCGGUGCAUUUCGGUGCAGCGCAUGCCUCUCAUAAACCCAAACCCUUGUGAACCGUUAUUGACACCUUUGGCGUAGCUUAUGGUCGCUCCCGUUGAACGCGCCCUCCGCAAGGGGGGAGGCGAUCCGGGGCGGCUGUUACGUCAAACGGUACCACACAAACUUAAACCAUUGAUACACCCAUAAAGACUUAAUCUAAGAAAAUUCAUAUAAUUGAAAUACAACUUUUAACAAUGGAUCUCUUGGCUCUU